AUUGAACGCUGGCGGAAUGCUUUACACAUGCAAGUCGAACGGCAGCACGGACUUCGGUCUGGUGGCGAGUGGCGAACGGGUGAGUAAUGUAUCGGAACGUGCCCAGUCGUGGGGAUAACGUAGUGAAAAUUACGCUAAUACCGCAUACGAUCUAUGGAUGAAAGCGGGGGAUCGCAAGACCUCGCGCGAUUGGAGCGGCCGAUAUCAGAUUAGGUAGUUGGUGGGGUAAAGGCCCACCAAGCCAACGAUCUGUAGCUGGUCUGAGAGGACGACCAGCCACACUGGAACUGAGACACGGUCCAGACUCCUACGGGAUGCAGCAGUGGGGAAUUUUGGACAAUGGGCGAAAGCCUGAUCCAGCCAUUCCGCGUGCAGGAUGAAGGCCCUCGGGUUGUAAACUGCUUUUGUGCAGAACGAAAAGGUUUCUACUAAUACUAGGAGCUCAUGACGGUACUGUAAGAAUAAGCACCGGCUAACUACGUGCCAGCCGCCGCAGUAA
rnacentral:rRNA from 1 species